GACGUCCUGCCGGUGGUGGUCCGGUCCUUCGGUCGUGUGUAGGUUUACCGAAGCACGCCGUUGGUUCCGGCCACCGAUUCAAUCCCGCCGCGGUGCUCUUAACUGAGUGUCGAGGUGGGCCGGCACUUUUACUUUGAACAAAUUAGAGUGCUUAAAGCAGGCUGAUUUCUGCCUGAAUACUGUGUGCAUGGAAUAAUGGAAUAGGACUUCGGUUCUAUUUUGUUGGUUUUAAGAAUCCGAAGUAAUGAUUAAUAGGGACAGGCGGGGGCAUUCGUAUUGCGACGUUAGAGGUGAAAUUCUUGGAUCGUCGCAAGACGUACCUAAGCGAAAGCAUUUGCCAAGUAUGUCCUCGUUAAUCAAGAACGAAAGUUAGAGGUUCGAAGGCGAUCAGAUACCGCCCUAGUUCUAACCAUAAACGAUGCCAGCCAGCGAUCCGCCAAAGUUCCUCCGAUGACUUGGCGGGCAGCUUCCGGGAAACCAAAGCUUUUGGGUUCCGGGGGAAGUAUGGUUGCAAAGCUGAAACUUAAAGGAAUUGACGGAAGGGCACCACCAGGAGUGGAGCCUGCGGCUUAAUUUGACUCAACACGGGAAACCUCACCAGGCCCGGACACCAGAAGGAUUGACAGAUUGAUAGCUCUUUCUUGAUUUGGUGGGUGGUGGUGCAUGGCCGUUCUUAGUUUGGUGGAGCGAUUUGUCUGGUUAAUUCCGAUAACGAACGAGACUCUAGCCUAUUAAGUAGGCGUCUCUGGUAUCCACAAUAGUGCUACCAGCGAAUAAAUUUCUUCUUAGAGGGACAGGCGGCUUCUAGCCGCACGAGACUGAGCAAUAACAGGUCUGUGAUGCCCUUAGAUGUCCUGGGCCGCACGCGCGCUACACUGAAGGAAUCAGCGUGUCUUCCCUGGCCGAAAGGUCCGGGUAACCCGUUGAACCUCCUUCGUGCUAGGGAUUGGGGCUUGCAAUUGUUCCCCAUGAACGAGGAAUUCCCAGUAAGCACGAGUCAUAAGCUCGUGUUGAUUACGUCCCUGCCCUUUGUACACACCGCCCGUCGCUACUACCGAUUGAAUGAUUUAGUGAGGUCUUCGGACUGGUGCGCGGUGAUCGCCUCGGUGGUCGCCGA
rnacentral:rRNA from 1 species